rnacentral:lncRNA from 1 species
CUGAAAGCUAUCAGAUUGAGCUGCUCUGGUGAUCGGGAAUUAUUCCUUUUCACUGGAGCUGAAGACUUUAAAAAAGUUGAAAGCUGCUGCAGCUCUGGAGCUGAAGGCUUGGGAGUGGAAGGCUGCUGCUCGACUUCCGGAUGUGGGGAAAAAACCGACCACAACUCACUGGUAUAUGGGGUUCUAGUGCUUGAAGGUGGAGAAGUUGGAGAAGCGAGAGCAGAGCCGGAAGAAGGAACUUGAAUGGUUACCUCGGUACUCUUGGGGGCACCGGCAGACUGUGCCCCUUGAAACUUUCUGCUGUUCCACGAAUCCAUGUUUAGUGUUCAAGGAGUUCUGGGCAUUCUGGGCAUUCUGGUGACCGUGGUAUUGACGACUUCAAAGCCGCUUGAAUGUCUUUCUCAUGUUGCUGGCAUAAGCAAGUAAGCUACUACUUUCGUUCUAUGAUAGCACGAGCCUUCCGAGCACUUCAAGCUACUCAUCACGAGCAAAUCUAUGAUAGCACGAGCCUUCUGAGCACUUCAAGCGACUCGUCACGAGCGAAUCAAUAAAAAACGAGUGCUUUGUUUGACAGUGCUGCAAGUUGCGACAAAGACACUGCAAACAUCAAGCUUGAGCGGAGUAUAUAAGGGAAUAGGGACGUUGUAACUAGCUACGACGCAAACAUGGCUUGUCUAGAGGGAAUCUAGCAACCACGACAAAAAAUCAUAGAGAAUGUAGAGACAAGGAGUGGAAUGAGAUUUGGGCGGAUCAAACCUGCGGCCAUUGGAAGCGUUCUCCAAGACCCUUCGCCGUGCUCGUUGACAUACUGCGUGAGGAGCGUGUCUUCUUCACGAGUCCAUGGACCCCUGUUGAGACCGAUUUUCUCGCAGCAAGGAGAUCGACCCAUCUGCAUGGCACCACCAACAAGAAUAAAGAAGAACAGAAACUAUAAAAUGCCUGUGGAAACUUUGGGAAGAACACAGGAUGAAGUUCGACUGGGACGAGAAGAAUACGCUGGGUGUUAUAUACGAGAUGUUUGUUUUAAAUCAAUGUUUUCCGCUCUGCUGGUCUCUUGCAAAUGUUCCUAGCUAUGAGAUAGAUGCUUCAGACACACAACGGACCAGGACAAGGAAAAAAUAUUCAUGAGAAAAGAACAAAGCUUGAAUCUUUUGACCCCUCAACGAAAGGAAGCUAGGGACUCGUAUAGAAAUCUAAAAAACCUGUGCCCUGCUUGUCCCGCCGUGCAAACAUCACUCCCUUUCUCGCUCGUUAAAUCGCGGUAGGAUCUAGAACAUGACCACUAUACUGUUGAUGACUAUCGCUACAGUAGGAUGGACUUUGUGGUAUAGCUUGGGCUGGUGCUCCACAGAAGCAGCACGAACUACACAGGAGGAAGAAAGAAAAAGUAGAGAAGAAAACGAAGAAGAAUCAAUGAAGAAAGGAGCUAAUUACUGCUGUCCGUGAAGAUGAGUGGAGAGAGCAACUUCAAAGAGCUAAAACUUUCACACGACAAACGGUCAGACGGGAAACUGGAGCGAUCUGGCACUAGUGCUGCCAUUCCAGAUCGAUCAAUAUUGUUUGACAACAAUGAUCUGACACACACAAGACUGUUUUCUUCGUCUCGGUAGCGCCCUUUCUACUGUUGCACAACAAACUAUUGCACAGCCGUGGAAGGGAAUAAUAGUAUAUAGAAACCUGUUGUAUCUCGUACUCUUGCUCUAUAAAUUCUCCAUAAACUUAAAGCUUCUUCUUCCAGGCCUAGAGAAAAGUCGGCUUCAAACACACAGCAUGGCCAUCUUUUAGUGUGUACUGUGCAGAACUCUCCCUUUCAACCAGGUCAUAUAAUUUGCCACUUACUAGGCUUAGGUGGUGGGAAAGAAAAAACUGGAGUAUUCCUUCUCACGUAGUGAUGUUUCUAUCUUAUACUUAAGAACCUUGUGUUGGCUCGAGGAGUAGUACUACGAAGUGGUGUAACGAAUGCAAAACUUGGACAGGGCAGACUGCUACUGAACACUAUUGCCACUGCCACAAGCCUCAAAUUUGCAGGGCAAACUUUCUUUUCCUUCUUGUGAAUAUUAGAAUUGACUUUCAUUGUGCAAGAUAAAAAUUAAUUUAUACCUCCCAAUAUAUAGAUAUUUAUAUGCAAAAAACUUUUUAAUACAACUAAUUCAAUCACACAAAAUCUUUGUUUCCUUUUUUUGAUGACAUGCAUCAUAAACAUGCCCCUAAUUGAUCUUGUUGUAGUCAUUAUCACCAUUUAAAUAGAUAAACAUUGAAUCAUCUAAAGUUUCAAUCUUUAAAGAGCAUUUUGAAGUAGUUUUUAACUGAUUUUGAUAAAAAAAUCCACCUUUAGCACAAGUAGUGCUCACAAGUAUCAAAGAGAUAAUUUUCCAUAGUUCCAUCAAAUUAGAACAUAUAUUUAUCAUGGAAAUAUCAUCUUUGCAUAUUUCCCAAGCCACUAGCUCAUUUUUUGUUAACAGAUUACUUUGCAUAAUAGUUACAAACUUUGUGAAUUCUCCUUUACAUUUUUCCCCAUCAACAAAAGCACCAUACUAGUUCAGUAAAAUAUUUAGCAAUUUGUAAAAGUUGUUAUCCAAUUUUUCCUUAUCAUUUGAGUAAUUUUUUGGGCUGAACAAUUUUGUAGCAUUGAAUAUGCCUAUAUCCUUUCCCAUUCUGGCCAGCAUAUUAAUGUGUAAUUUCUGAAUACAUUCCUUGUUUAAAUCUAAGCAAAAGCUCAAGCUCUCAUCUUUUUUGCUCUCUAGAAUAAGAGUAUAAUCUAAGGCAUGUUUUUGUUAUUCCCCUUUAGCAUUUAUAAAUUUGAUAAAUUCAUUUUUAGUAGCCUCCACAAAAUUACUCAAGUGUUUCACACUAAAAGUCUCUUUCAGAAAUUUUCUUUAGAUACUUUUCAAAGUACCAUCUAAAUACCUAGCAAUGUUAGCAAUAUUCAUAAUUUCAACUUUAAAAGAUUUUGUUCAAACUAUUCAAUUCCAGAAGUAUAUUAGGCAGCAUAUGAAUAGAUGAUCAAUCUCUUUAAGACUUCCUCAUAAAAUAACAAACAUACAUUGUGAAUUUGAAGCAUACCUAAUGUAAAUAUAUUUAUAGCAUCUUCUAGAGGCUUAAAAGCUAUGACUCUUUUUCUAAAAGUAUGCAACCAUUUAUAAAUUUGAUUGCAUAGCUUUUGAACAAUCAUAAAUUUAAGAAAUGCAUGCACAACUUCAAUAGCCACUAAACUUUAUCUAUGCGCUAAACAAUGCAUUCCAAACAAGUGUGGAAUGUUAUGUUUCAAUCUUGUCACUAGACCAAAUUAUUUUCCAACCAUAAUAAAAGCUCCAUCAGUUUCAAUAACAACACAUUUUCCCUUUUUAAAGUUCAUUUCUUCCAAAACCUUUUUGAUAGCUUCAUAUUUAUUUACAACCUUUAGUUACCAUCAAUUUGAAAAAGCAAGUUUUAUUCAGACUUUUUUCUUUUUCUUGCAUAUGGAAAGAGAUGUAUAUGAUAAGAUGAGCUUCCAAACUUCUAUCAGUAUUGUUAUCCAUCAUAAUAGAAAAGUAAGGACUAGUUUAAAUAUUUUGGCAAACAUCUUUCCAUCACACAUCUUUUUUGCAUUUUACAAACUCUUUCCCACUCAUAGCAUUCAUAUAAGUUUUAUAUUAUAUGGUGAUUGGCAUAUAGGGCAUUUCUAUAAAUCUAUUAAAUUCACACAAAGAUUUAUAGCUUUGUAAAGGUAAUCCCUUAUUCACAAUGAAGUACAUGAGGAAAUCAAUUUAUUUUUGUGUUGAUCUUUUUGAGCAGUAAUAUAUUUAAGGAUAGAUAACCCUUUCUUCUUCUUUACUUUCCAAAUAACCAUAGCUAGUUGAUGUUGUUUGGAAUUGUUAUGCUAUUUUAAAAUUGGUUUUUGAAAAGUCAAAGAACCAUCCUUACCAAAAAAAUUAUCCUUUUUAGCAUAUACAUAUAUUAUUCUUUAAUUGCCUUCAACAUCUAUCACAAUAUACACCUAAGGAAAACUAAGUUUCCACUUAGUUCUAAAUGUUUUAUUCUUUUUCCUCUUUUUAUUGGUUGUAGUAUUGGUUUCUUCUUCUGUUGUUGAAAGAUGUUCAUCCUCUAAUCUGAUUUUAAAUCUUUCACCAAAAAAGGAAUCAUAAAGCUCUUGCCUUGCAAUAUUUUGUUAAUUUAUAUUUCUUUUCUCCCUCUCAUAGGCAAUAGCAAAAAAUGCUUCAAUCCUAUGUUGUUGUUGUCACUAUCGCUGCUUUCCCAUUUGAAUUCAAUGAAGUUGACAUGGAUUAGGUCUAGGGCAGGUUGUUAAACACUAGGAUAUUUUUACAAUAUUCUUAAUAAUAGUUGAUAGAAUAUUAUCUGUACUGCAAUGUACGAAUUUUCUUUGCCCAGCAAGUGGCAACACUAAAAUAUUUCUAUACUUCAUUAGUGCAAGGUGAAAAUUGAACAUUUCUUUCAAGUCGCAACAUAAAUUAGAAAUCAGCCUUCAAAUGCAAAGUAAACAUGCCUUUGCAGGGCUUUGCAAGGUGCAAAAUUGAGGCCUACAUUGUCAUCCCUAAAUGUGAUUUGGGUGCCACAGUUCUAAAGAGACUGUCGCUAUAGGAGAGCUUAUGAGGAUGUUGAGAUAUUGCUGUAAGUUCCUUCAUGCACUUCACAGUGAUCGUAAAUGCUUCGUGAUGGCAUCUUAAACUUGUACCAUGGCAUCUGCAUUGCCAGUUCAAAGAUUAAAUAGCCCACAACCAAGAACAAAGUGAAGAAAAUGAGAAAAAAUCUAAGAAUGUUGCUGUCCCCUUAAGUUUCUCUGGCCAUAAAUUCGCUGCUACAAUAGCUUAUAUCCUUUCUACGCUUUAAGUUUCAGUGCCCGUAGCGGAUAGAUGUCGUUUGGACACUGUUGACCACAAUUGACUAUCGUUGACCAAUGGACCGUUAACUUUGGGGUUCGAUUCCUGCGCUGGGCGAUAUUGCCAGGGCUAGGGUUCUUCGAUGGGGCUCAAGCUGCGAGCAGUGCCGAUCACGGAGGUGAAUUUCCGGCCUUUUGGCCAGCUCCUGGGAAAGAUCGGCGACGGAUGCGAGUAUGGAUCGGGAGACGCGCAGCUCAAUCUCGCGAAUGGGAUUCCCAGGUAGUGCAGGCAAAAUGUGGCCGAAAUUUCCAGUGGCUCGAUAGUGAUUGAGUGAGUGAUGGUUCUUUUGCGCAGAUUCUACCUCAUGGAGCUCAAGAAAACGGGGCUGCGAUUCAAAAGGAUAACGCAUCACGCCAGGGUCACGCAGUGUCUGGGAUCAGUGGGAGCUCAUCCUUGGUACAUGGCGGUCUCUCUUCCCAGCAUUGUGGAUCCUUCAUCGCAACACGAGGGCGCUGUUCGAUCCAACGCUGGUGGCCACUCCUAUUUACCUCCCUCUCAUGCAAGCGUCCAGGUUUUCAAGAUAGAUGGUCCUCGCUUCAUCAAGCUAAACGAAGGAACUUGGCACGCUGGUCCUCUCUUUGGUGAUCGAGAUUCGAUGGUCUUCUACAGCUUGGAGCUCAGUGACACCAACGUAAGAUCAUUCGAUCGAGCUAUGUUUUCUCCCUUUUUAUGUUCUUUUUAUUUGCAGGUUGUGGAUCACACUACCCACGUGUUUGAGGACUGAUCGAAGAUUGAGGUACAGAGCCUUGGCAUUUCAUGUGAUAUUCGAACGUGAUUUUUGUGCUAGGUGAUGGCGAGCUUAAACACUUUUUUGCGUGUCUAGAAAAGCAAAUGGUGGAAAUGAAACAAGUUCUUUGCGAGCUAAGCAUUUCAUGUCCCUUGCCAUCAAGUUGUCGAGGAGCUCCUUUUGUGCCUCGGGACACUGACUAGUAGUUGAAGGAUGUACAAAAUGAGGCUGAUGAUCCUGACUCCCACAGACCAUGGCGUCAACUCCCUGGUAUAAAUCUUUCUUAAUUGAGGACUGUUGAGGACUUCUAGCACUUCCUCCUCUCCUGCUUCUCUCGACGUUUGUGCUCUGGGGAAGUGCCAGUCUUCGUGCUGCAAGCGAGCAAUGUUUCCAACAACACAGCGAAUUUCUAUAAAUUGCUGGAUAGAGAAACACGAGCUGAAUCAAAAGAACAAUCGACGAGCGACUGUAACAACUAACAUACUCACCAGCCAUAGGAUAGCCUGGUUUCUCUCCUUAGAGUCGAGCCAGUAAAAUUGUGCGUCUUUUAAACCAGGAUGGAGAUAAGUCCGCUGGUGUUACCGAUUCGCACGCAUAUCCUGUGGUCCACGGCUAGCCUGUUGGGGACUUCUAGCACUUCCUCCUCUCUUGCGGCUAAAAGAGCAGUGAGGGCCUCCAGGGAUAGCGGAAAAAAGUGGAAAGCUGCUGCAGCUCUGGAGCUGAAGGCUUGGGAGUGGAAGGCUGCUGCUCGACCUCCGGAUGUGGGGAAAAAGCCGACCACAACUCACUGGUAUAUGGGGUUCUAGUGCUUGAAGGUGGAGAAGUUGGAGAAGCGAGAGCAGAGCCGGAAGAAGGAACUUGAAUGGUUACCUCGGUACUCUUGGGGGCACCGGCAGACUGUGCCCCUUGAAACUUUCUGCUGUUCCACGAAUCCAUGUUUAGUGUUCAAGGAGUUCUGGGCAUUCUGGGCAUUCUGGUGACCGUGGUAUUGACGACUUCAAAGCCGCUUGAAUGUCUUUCUCAUGUUGCUGGCAUAAGCAAGAAAACUACUACUUUCGUUCUAUGAUAGCACGAGCCUUCCGAGCACUUCAAGCUACUCAUCACGAGCGAAUCUAUGAUAGCACGAGCCUUCUGAGCACUUCAAGCGGCUCGUCACGAGCGAAUCAAUAAAAAACGAGUGCUUUGUUUGACAGUGCUGCAAGAUGCGACAAAGACACUGCAAACAUCAAGCUUGAGCGGAGUAUAUAAGGGAAUAGGGACGUUCUAACUAGCUACGACGCAAACAUGGCUUGUCUAGAGGGAAUCUAGCAACCACGACAAAAAAUCUUAGAGAAUGUAGAGACAAGGAGUGGAAUG